rnacentral:lncRNA from 1 species
GAAGGCUAUGGGCACCAAGGAUGUCCGAGUGGAUGUUAAGCUAAACAAGCAAAUUUGGAGCAGGGGGAUCAGAAGUGUCCCAAGGAGGGUCAGGGUCCGCAUUGCUCGCAAGCGUAAUGAUGAUGAAGAUGCAACUGAAGAGCUUUACUCCCUUGUUACUGUUGCUGAGGCUCCAACAGGGCUUAAGGGACUUGGUACCCUAGUCAUUGAAGAAGAUGAUGAGUGAUUUACUUCUAGUUUUUUUAUUGUAUGCAAUAGAUUUUUGCAAAGCCCAGAGUGUUGAGACUUUUUUAUUACCUAGUUGCUUUGACGUCAUUUA